AUGUUGCUGGACACCGUGGGCUGUAGAAGUCUCAUGUCAAUUUCGUGGACAUUAGUUUGUGAACGAGAUAGCGGUGGCAUGUCAUUGAAUAUGUCACUAAUUUUUCGUGCACAUCCCUGCCUUUUGAAUCUGGUGUCGUCUUGUACCCGGGAAACCACCUCGUUAACUUCGUCGGAUGUAUACUCUCGGAAAGCGGGGGCGGCCGGGAAUUUCUUCACGCGGUUUUUGGAAUACUUUAGGAAAUCCACUAGUGUUCCAGGAAGCUGGGAGCGAUGGAAAUCUGUCUUUAUUCCAGCCCCAUUCCUGGGCCCACUGUAAAGAUAUUUCACAUCGUUAUCCCUGAUGUAACGCGGCGUUGUGUGGAAGGCCAUCUUGAGCUGUAGAACAUCAUCCAAGUACCCGAAACAUGGCGAUUGUGUUCAUCAUCACAUUAAUAUAAAAAAUCCGGGGAAGUGUACACCCACAAAGCACGAGGCAAAUGAACGGAAUCUUGUUAAUUACACUGCCCAUUAAUUAAAUAACAAGCACCAAUACAAUGUUAAUUGUUUUGGACAUUCUUCAAACUUCACUCUACAUAGGCACUUGGACUAUAUCAUCAUUAAAGAUCUGACAGCUCAGAUGGGGGCAUGCUUGUAUUUUGGCGAGGCGUUUUAUUUCUUAAUUAAUAAGGACCCGCACAUAGACAAUUAAAAGGCCCCGAUAUCUGUGUCAAGAACAAAUGAUUGUUCUAAAAUCUGUUCGAUCAAAGCAGCGACUAGAUGGUCAGACAUUUUGUUUCAACAAGAAACUGACUAUAAGUCCUAUAUUUGAUGCUGCAUCAGUGUUUAUCUUUUGACUACUUCAUUCUGCAUUUCCCUGCAUUAAGACUUAAUUCUACUUCUUCAAUAAACAGUUUUUGCUUAAAUACUUUUAUCAAUACGCAUAAUUUAAC
rnacentral:sRNA from 1 species